UUGGGGAUGGGGGAGAGGGAGGCAGAAGCAAUCCAUAGGAGGUUAUCCUGUCUAUGUGUAAAAGACAAUGGACUUUGGGGGUAUUUCUAGAUGGCAAAGAUGACACCCUGUCAUUCUGCACCUUGGAAGUAAAUAGUGUAGCUGCAUUCAUGAAAAUAGAUCUCAAACCAGCCUUGAUGGAAAGUGCUCAGGAGGACUUUCGAUUUUCCCUCUGGUUUGCACUGUGCACCAGCUGGGACACAGUUACAUCGUUCUAUCAGCUGCCUGUAAAAUGGGAAGGAAGAAAAGAAGGAAGAAUGAAUGACACCAUAAUGCCAUCUGAUACCAGAGUUCCUCUGCACUUACUGCAACACUCACUUCAAGAAAUAGCCAGUUGACUCUUCUUCAUAGGUCUUUUAGAAUCGGUAACUUUGGAGGCUGAUCCUACAGAUGAGAUUUUUGCAUGCCA